rnacentral:rRNA from 1 species
CCUACGGGUGGCAGCAGUGGGGAAUAUUGCACAAUGGGGGAAACCCUGAUGCAGUGACGCCGCGUGAGUGAAGAAGUAAUUCGGUAUGUAAAGCUCUAUCAGCAGAGAAGAAAAUGACGGUACCUGAGUAAUAAGCACCGGCUAACUACGUGCCAGCAGCCGCGGUAAUACGUAGGGGGCAAGCGUUAUCCGGAUUUACUGGGUGUAAAGGGAGCGUAGACGGGCGUGCAAGUCUGGAGUGAAAGGCGGGGGCUCAACCCCAGAACUGCUCUGGAAACUGUAAGGCUGGAGUGCAGGAGAGGUAAGUGGAAUUCUUGGUGUAGCGGUGAAAUGCGUAGAUAUUAGGAGGAACACCCGUUGCGAAGGCGGCCUACUGGACUGUAACUGACGUUGAUGCUCGAAAGCGUGGGGAGCAAACAGGAUUAGAUACCCGGGUAGUC